GGGUUGUGAGGUUAAGCGACUAAGCGUACACGGUGGAUGCCCUGGCAGUCAGAGGCGAUGAAGGGCGUGCUAAUCUGCGAUAAGCGCCGGUAAGGUGAUAUGAACCGUUAUAACCGGCGAUACCCGAAUGGGGAAACCCAGUGUGACUCGUCACACUAUCAUUAACUGAAUCCAUAGGUUAAUGAGGCGAACCGGGGGAACUGAAACAUCUAAGUACCCCGAGGAAAAUAAAUCAACCGAGAUUCCCCCAGUAGCGGCGAGCGAACGGGGAGGAGCCCAGAGCCUGAAUCAGCAUGUGUGUUAGUGGAAGCGUCUGGAAAGGCGCGCGAUACAGGGUGACAGCCCCGUACACAAAAGCGCAUGUGCUGUGAGCUCGAUGAGUAGGGCGGGACACGUGGUAUCCUGUCUGAAUAUGGGGGGACCAUCCUCCAAGGCUAAAUACUCCUGACUGACCGAUAGUGAACCAGUACCGUGAGGGAAAGGCGAAAAGAACCCCGGCGAGGGGAGUGAAAAAGAACCUGAAACCGUGUACGUACAAGCAGUGGGAGCCCCACCACCAAAGCAUUCUCUGGUGUUGAAGGCCCUGCAAAGCAGCAUCGCGGUGGCGGAGCGUCGUUUGCGACGCCCAACACACAAAACAAGCGGUGAGUGCUUUGGGGUGGGGUGACUGCGUACCUUUUGUAUAAUGGGUCAGCGACUUAUAUUCUGUAGCAAGGUUAACCGAAUAGGGGAGCCGGAGGGAAACCGAGUCUUAAUUGGGCGUUAAGUUGCAGGGUAUAGACCCGAAACCCGGUGAUCUAGCCAUGGGCAGGUUGAAGGUUGGGUAACACUAACUGGAGGACCGAACCGACUAAUGUUGAAAAAUUAGCGGAUGACCUGUGGCUGGGGGUGAAAGGCCAAUCAAACCGGGAGAUAGCUGGUUCUCCCCGAAAGCUAUUUAGGUAGCGCCUCGUGAAUUCAUCUCCGGGGGUAGAGCACUGUUUCGGCUAGGG
rnacentral:rRNA from 1 species